UCCUACGGGUGGCUGCAGUGGGGAAUAUUGCACAAUGGGCGCAAGCCUGAUGCAGCAACGCCGCGUGAGGGAUGACGGCCUUCGGGUUGUAAACCUCUUUUAGUAGGGAAGAAGCCGCAAGGUGACGGUACCUGCAGAAAAAGCACCGGCUAACUACGUGCCAGCAGCCGCGGUAAUACGUAGGGUGCAAGCGUUGUCCGGAAUUAUUGGGCGUAAAGAGCUCGUAGGCGGCUUGUCGCGUCUGCUGUGAAAACCCGGGGCUCAACCCCGGGCCUGCAGUGGGUACGGGCAGGCUAGAGUGCGGUAGGGGAGAUUGGAAUUCCUGGUGUAGCGGUGGAAUGCGCAGAUAUCAGGAGGAACACCGAUGGCGAAGGCAGAUCUCUGGGCCGUAACUGACGCUGAGGAGCGAAAGCAUGGGGAGCGAACAGGAUUAGAUACCCGGGUAGUC
rnacentral:rRNA from 1 species